CUAAUAUGAAAUGCAAAGUCUUUAAAAUCCUGACCCAGUUCAGGGCAGAGUUUCUUCCAAAUUCCUUUAUGAUAAAAUUCUGAGCUGUGAUGCUUAACUCACCAAUUCUCUUCAGCUGAAAACUUGGUGGUGUCAGGGUCACCAACCCUGUUUGAAUAGUCUUGUUUAGAGGCAUGUUAAUUCACAUCAUCUGAUUCUAGAAAAAUAGAGUAAAGGUUUCUCAUUCUAUGAAUCACCACAACAGCUUUCUUUUUUUUUUUUUUAAUUUAUUUAUGAUAGUCACACAGAGAGAGAGAGGCAGAGACACAGGCAGAGGGAGAAGCAGGCUCCAUGCACCGGGAGCCUGACAUGGGAUUUGAUCCCGGGUCUCCAGGAUCGCGCCCUGGGCCAAAGGCAGGCGCUAAACCACUGCGCCACCCAGGGAUCCCACAACAGCUUUCUUAUUACUGAUUGUCUUGGCCUGGCACUCUUUACUGGCUUCAAUUUUUUUUUCUUUGAAGGAGGUGACUACUGUGGAAUGGAACAAUUUAAUCUCACUGAGAGGCCUUCUGCCCCUGGAUGCCUCUGAGUAAGCAUCGUUAAAGUCUCCCCUCCCACUGCCAUCAUGCCUAAGUCAGAGUCUCCCAAAGAGCCUGAGCAGCUGUGGAAGCUCUUCAUCGGAGGUUUGAGCUUUGAAACAACCUAUGAGAG
rnacentral:lncRNA from 12 species